CAGUAGCCGCGGUAAUACGUAGGGUGCAAGCGUUAAUCGGAAUUACUGGGCGUAAAGCGUGCGCAGGCGGUUAUAUAAGUCAGAUGUGAAAUCCCAGGGCUCAACCUGGGAACUGCAUUUGAGACUGUAUGGCUAGAGUGUGUCAGAGGGGGGUAGAAUUCCACGUGUAGCAGUGAAAUGCGUAGAUAUGUGGAGGAAUACCGAUGGCGAAGGCAGCCCCCUGGGAUAACACUGACGCUCAUGCACGAAAGCGUGGGGAGCAAACAGGAUUAGAUACCCGUGUAGUCCCUGUCUCUUAUAC
rnacentral:rRNA from 1 species